rnacentral:rRNA from 1 species
UACGUAGGGUGCAAGCGUUGUCCGGAAUUAUUGGGCGUAAAGAGCUCGUAGGCGGUUCGUCGCGUCGGCUGUGAAAUCCCGGAGCUCAACUCCGGGUCUGCAGUCGAUACUGGCGGACUCGAGUUCGGCAGGGGAGACUGGAAUUCCUGGUGUAGCGGUGAAAUGCGCAGAUAUCAGGAGGAACACCGGUGGCGAAGGCGGGUCUCUGGGCCGAUACUGACGCUGAGGAGCGAAAGCGUGGGGAGCGAACAGG